AUGCUCGACCUCUGCUUCCCCAAUUGCAGGCGGCACUGGGACGCCGCCAUGGCGGCCCAUGGUGCAGCGAUGCCUGCUCAGGCCCCUGCUCUUGGUCGCGCAUCCACGGAUUCCGGCAAUCUUUCGACACGGCCCGGAAGCCAGCGGCCGGACAUGCGCACAUGCCCCCAUGGACGGCGGAAGCACCCACCGGCGCGCGGGGCCCAUGGCCGGAGGACGCAGCAAGGCGCGGUGACUGUUGUGGCAUCCAACGAACACCCGCGAACUCCAGCGGCGGUGGUUUCUGUGUGUAAAAGCUAA
rnacentral:rRNA from 1 species